AAUAAAAAUAAAUGCGAAAAAUAAAAAGCACACCGAGAUUUACGUGGGAAAACUCCAACUUGGAGAAAAACCCACGGGACCAACACGCGAAAAAAUAAUUCACUAAGAGAAAAGAUUACAAGGUGAUUACCGACUCCACGGACUCAACCUCUCUUAACCUCCUAUGAAUCUUCGCGCUACCCUCCGGAUUGUCCACGCCCUCACGUUCGAGUCCACGAACGCCUUCACUUCGAAUCCACGAAGCUCCACUCACGUCGAAUCCACGACGCCACUCGAAUCCACGAAC
rnacentral:lncRNA from 1 species